AUACGGAGGAUCCGAGCGUUAUCCGGAUUUAUUGGGUUUAAAGGGUGCGCAGGCGGCCAUUUAAGUCAGCGGUUAAAUCGUGGGGCUCAACCCCAUUCUGCCGUUGAUACUGGGUGGCUUGAUUGCGGUCGAGGUUGGCGGAAUUCGUUGUGUAGCGGUGAAAUGCAUAGAUAUGACGAAGAACACCGAUUGCGUAGGCAGCUGACCAGACCGCAAAUGACGCUCAUGCACGAAAGUGCGGGGAUCGAACAGGAUUAGAUACCCUGGUAGUCCGCACAGUAAACGAUGAAUACUUGUUUUCGGCGAUAUAAUGUCGGAGGCAAAGCGAAAGCGAUAAGUAUUCCACCUGGGGAGCACGCCGGCAACGGUGAAACUCAAAUGAAUUGACGGGG
rnacentral:rRNA from 1 species